rnacentral:lncRNA from 1 species
GAUUCCGAAGAAAAAUUGAAGUCCCAUUUUGCUUCUCCGAAAAAGGUAAAUACACCUUUCUCUUUUAGUUUUGUUAUCGUUUUCUUCUUCAUCUCUUUUUUUGUAGUUUUAUAGUUGUGUAGUUGUAAUUUUGUUUGCUAGGAUUGUUUGUUGUAGAUGAUCUUGAAGACCAUAAGAUGUUGUGAUAUCAAUAUUAUGAUUAUUUUUUAUAUUCAUGGUGUAAAAUGAGUUAACAAUAGUUGAAAGUGUUUCUUUGACUUUCUUCUU